UUUAAAUUUCUCGUUCUGUUUUUUAACCACAUAAUAACGAAUAUUUUACAUAGAAUAAUAUAGAGAGAGGAUGAGGAAGAAAGUGAGAAAAUAACGAGGAAGAUGAAGAUGAAGACUAUAACGAAGAAGUGAACGAGAAAGUAAUGAUGACAACGGCUAAAAGAAAAUUAAUAAUUAAGAUGACAAGAAUGAAUAUGAAAAGUAAGAAACAACGAAUGUGAAGAGAAAUACAAAGACAUAUGUGUUGACAUUCAAUU
rnacentral:sRNA from 1 species